rnacentral:rRNA from 1 species
GGCGAACGGGUGAGUAACACGUAGGUACUUUUUUCAAGUCUAGGAUAUCCCACCGAAAGGUGGUGCAAUACUUGAUGUGGUCGCAAGACUAAAGCAGCAAUGCGCUUGAAAUGAGGCCUGUGGACCAUCAGCUAGUUGGUAAGGUAACGGCUUACCAAGGCUAUGACGGUUAGCGGAUCUGAGAGGAUGACCCGCCACACUGGGACUGCGACACGGCCCAG